UAGAGUUUUGAUCAUGGCUCAGGACGAACGCUGGCGGCGUGCCUAAUACAUGCAAGUCGAACGAACUCUGGUAUUGAUUGGUGCUUGCAUCAUGAUUUACAUUUGAGUGAGUGGCGAACUGGUGAGUAACACGUGGGAAACCUGCCCAGAAGCGGGGGAUAACACCUGGAAACAGAUGCUAAUACCGCAUAACAACUUGGACCGCAUGGUCCGAGUUUGAAAGAUGGCUUCGGCUAUCACUUUUGGAUGGUCCCGCGGCGUAUUAGCUAGAUGGUGRGGUAACGGCUCACCAUGGCAAUGAUACGUAGCCGACCUGAGAGGGUAAUCGGCCACAUUGGGACUGAGACACGGCCCAAACUCCUACGGGAGGCAGCAGUAGGGAAUCUUCCACAAUGGACGAAAGUCUGAUGGAGCAACGCCGCGUGAGUGAAGAAGGGUUUCGGCUCGUAAAACUCUGUUGUUAAAGAAGAACAUAUCUGAGAGUAACUGUUCAGGUAUUGACGGUAUUUAACCAGAAAGCCACGGCUAACUACGUGCCAGCAGCCGCGGUAAUACGUAGGUGGCAAGCGUUGUCCGGAUUUAUUGGGCGUAAAGCGAGCGCAGGCGGUUUUUUAAGUCUGAUGUGAAAGCCUUCGGCUCAACCGAAGAAGUGCAUCGGAAACUGGGAAACUUGAGUGCAGAAGAGGACAGUGGAACUCCAUGUGUAGCGGUGAAAUGCGUAGAUAUAUGGAAGAACACCAGUGGCGAAGGCGGCUGUCGGUCUGUAACKGACGCKRGGGYCCAACG
rnacentral:rRNA from 1 species